GACGAACGCUGGCGGCGUGCUUAACACAUGCAAGUCGAACGGUGAAGGGACCAGCUUGCUGGUUCUGGAUGAGUGGCGAACGGGUGAGUAACACGUGAGUAACCUGCCCCCUUCUUCUGGAUAACCGCAUGAAAGUGUGGCUAAUACGGGAUAUUCUGGGUCUGUCGCAUGGCGGGCCCGGGAAAGAUAUUGCUUCGGUGGGGGAUGGGCUCGCGGCCUAUCAGCUUGUUGGUGGGGUGAUGGCCUACCAAGGCGGUGACGGGUAGCCGGCCUGAGAGGGUGGACGGUCACACUGGGACUGAGUCACGGCGCAGACUCCUACGGGAGGCAGCAGUGGGGAAUAUUGCACAAUGGGCGCAAGCCUGAUGCAGCGACGCCGAGUGAGGGAUGGAGGCCUUCGGGUUGUAAACCUCUUUCGCCAGUGAAGCAGGCCUGCUCCUUGUGGGUGGGUUGACGGUAGCUGGAUAAGAAGCGCCGGCUAACUACGUG
rnacentral:rRNA from 1 species